rnacentral:rRNA from 1 species
AACGAACGCUGGCGGCAUGCCUAACACAUGCCAGUCGAACGAUUGCCUUCGGGUGAUAGUGGCGCACGGGUGCGUAACGCGUGGGAAUCUGCCCUUAGGUUCGGAAUAACAGCUGGAAACGGCUGCUAAUACCGGAUGAUAUCGCGAGAUCAAAGAUUUAUCGCCUGAGGAUGAGCCCGCGUUGGAUUAGGUAGUUGGUGGGGUAAAGGCCUACCAAGCCGACGAUCCAUAGCUGGUCUGAGAGGAUGAUCAGCCACACUGGGACUGAGACACGGCCCAGACUCCUACGGGAGGCAGCAGUGGGGAAUAUUGGACAAUGGGCGCAAGCCUGAUCCAGCAAUGCCGUGUGAGUGAUGAAGGCCCUAGGGUUGUAAAGCUCUUUUACCCGGGAAGAUAAUGACUGUACCGGGAGAAUAAGCCCCGGCUAACUCCGUG